rnacentral:lncRNA from 1 species
UUUCUGAGAGAUUUGCAAUGCAAGGCCUCCUGAAGCCUUGUCACAACUGGAAACACUUGAAAGGGGACCUCAGAGCCAGCCAUUGCUGGUGUCUGGAGUCUCCCAGACCACUCACUGCUUCUUGCCAGUUAUGACUGUCAUUCCCUUCGCACCAGCUGUACCACUCCCAGAGGUCUGAGCAGGCCACAGAUAGCCCCCACCUUGCAGAGCAGGAAGUUUAGCCAGGCUCGAGUGUAUCCCCUCCAGCCCUGGCAAAGGGCUUCUGCUCACCACAGAUCUAUAGCCAGUCUGAAUAGAGGAAGAGAGAACCCCACAACAGCCAUACACGGGUAGUGUCCCUUUCCUCUCAGAGCCAAGUUCCAUUCCUGGAGUUAUCCUCUAGGCAUGAAGCCUUCCAGGGGCCGGGAUGGUAGGGAGUUUCACCCCUUCCUCCCUCCCCAAGCCUGCAAACCACCUUUGCUUUCAUUCCUUUCUCUGCGCCUGCCCCCAUCUCAGGGACCAUGAUGUCUCAUCCAGUCCUCUCUUCCUCAGGCCACCCAGGGACAGUUCACAUCUGCAGCCUUCAGAAUGUCCUGUAGGAGUGUCACCAACCCAGGUCCAAGUGUUCAUGCCUGUCCUUCACCAGGGACUGUAGGACCCUUACUUGUUUUGUUUGGUUGGGCUUUGAUCUGUUUUUUUGUUUUGCUUUGUUUUGUUUUGUUUUUUUGAGACAGGGAUUCUCUGUGUAGCCCUGGCUGGCCUGGAACUCACUCUGUGGACCAGGCUGGUCUCCAACUCAGAUCCUCCUGCCUCUGCCUCCCAAGUGCUGGGAUUAAAGGUGUGAUCUACCACUGCCGGGCCCUCAUGUUGCGUUGUGUUCUUAAGUUGAGGAAGAACUGUCUCCUCUUCCACCUUUCUACAGAAUGCCUCUUCUUUACCUCCCGCCUCUAUGGGGAUGACUUUUGAGGCCCCACCUGGGUCAAGGGUUCAGUAUUUUAGUCUAAAACUUCAGAAAGUCAAGCAUCACUUAAGACAUGCCCAGGGCUCCAGCUUGCCCUCAGCAGUCCUUCAGGACUUCUGGUUCCUUCCGCCACCCUUCUCAAGAUUCUAGAAAUCAAAGGAGCCAUACAAUCCGGCAGGAGGCAGUGACUGUGGUCUCAGUGCUGGGAGCCCAGGAGGAACCGUCAUGCCUUACCUCCUUCUAAUGGGUAAAGGGGCUUUCUUAUCAAGCAUGUCUGACAUCCCUGGAGAGGCUACGCUGUUCCAGGUGGCACUGGGAUGCCAGUUGGCAGCUGGAUCCUUCUGUUCACACGACUUGGAACCUUUUGUCCUUUGGGGCUGGGCACCUCCAGACCCUCUGUGUGUCCCUGUCAUCUGGGGAUGGGGAGGAAUUCAGGCCUGUUCACUUCCCCAGUUCUGUAGCAGCCGAUCAGCGUCACCUUUGAAGUAUACAUGAGAGAAAUAUAUUUACAAAUGCUUUAUUCUCUUCUUUAAUAAAAAGUGCACCGGUAUUC